ensembl:misc_RNA Y_RNA Y RNA
GGUUGCUCCAAGUGCAGUGGUAUUUACAACUAAUUGAUCACAACCAGUUACAGAUUCCUUUGUUCCUUUUCCACUCCCACUGCCUCAUGUGACCAGCCUUAA